GAUGAACGCUGGCGGCGUGCCUAACACAUGCAAGUCGAGCGAACGGACGAGAAGCUUGCUUUUCUGAUGUUAGCGGCGGACGGGUGAGUAACACGUGGAUAACCUACCUAUAAGACUGGGAUAACUUCGGGAAACCGGUGCUACUACCGGAUAAUAUUUUGAACCGCAUGGUUCAAAAGUUAAAGACGGUCUUGCUGUCACUUAUAGAUGGAUCCGCGUUGCAUUAGCUAGGUGGUAAGGUAACGGCUAACCAAGGCAACGAUGCAUAGCUGACCUGAGAGGAUGAUCGGCCACACUAGAACUGAGCCACGGUCCAGACUCCUACGGGAGGCAGCAGUGGGGAAUGUUCCACAAAGGGCGAAAGCCUGACCGAGCAACGCCGCGUGAGUGAUGAAGGUCUUCGGAUCGUAAAGCUCUGUUAUUAGGGAAGAACAUAAGUGUAAGUAACUGUGCACAUCUUGACGGUACCUAAUGAAUAAGCAACGGCUAACUACGUG
rnacentral:rRNA from 1 species